rnacentral:tRNA from 1 species
GGAGGGGUGGCCGAGUGGCCGAAGGUGCGGCACUGGAAAUGCCGUGUAGGGGCAACUCUACCGUGGGUUCGAAUCCCACCCCCUCCGCCA